GAACGCAGAGGCGAUCCUUUGGAUGUCAUGGACGAUUCCGUAGAUUUUCUUAGCUUGCAAGUCAUUGUUGAUUGCUCGGAUGAGCAUUAAAUUGUCAGAGAAUACCUUUAGUCUGGGUAGAUCAAGGUUCACUGCAGUAGAGAUCGCGGAUCGAAGCGCCAGUGCUUCAGCGAUCAGAGGUGAGUUGAUGUCCUCUUUUGUGACGAUUCCUUGUGUGAUACGAUUGUUUGCUGUUCCGGUAAUGGUCCAAGCUAAUCCCGCUUUCCUUGUUUGCUUGUUCCACGCUGCGUCGGAUUUGCAGGUUGGAGUUGCUUCGAGAUCGAAUUGGGUCCGGUGAACUACCGUCGGUACUGGAGCUAUCGUUAGAUUCUUCGACUUUUUCGGUGGUUGAGCCAGGCUUCACUCUCUUGCUAGCCGGAUUCCAUUCGUCGCCGUUUCCUCCGGAGAUAGGGUCAUGUUUUCAAAGAUGAGAGUGUUUCGUGCCUUCCAUAUGGACCAACAGACCC
rnacentral:lncRNA from 1 species